GACGAACGCUGGCGGCGUGCUUAACACAUGCAAGUCGAACGGCGAAGGGGUCUGCUUUUGUGGGCCCUGGAUGAGUGGCGAACGGGUGAGUAACACGUGAGUAACCUGCCCCCUUCUUCUGGAUAACCGCAUGAAAGUGUGGCUAAUACGGGAUAUUCUGGGUCUGUCGCAUGAUGGGUCUGGGAAAGAUUGCGCCUUUGGGUGUUUUUGGUGGGGGAUGGGCUCGCGGCCUAUCAGCUUGUUGGUGGGGUGAUGGCCUACCAAGGCGGUGACGGGUAGCCGGCCUGAGAGGGUGGACGGUCACACUGGGACUGAGACACGGCCCAGACUCCUACGGGAGGCAGCAGUGGGGAAUAUUGCGCAAUGGGCGCAAGCCUGAUGCAGCGACGCCGCGUGAGGGAUGGAGGCCUUCGGGUUGUAAACCUCUUUCGCCAGUGAAGCAGGCCUGCUCCUUGUGGGUGGGUUGACGGUAGCUGGAUAAGAAGCGCCGGCUAACUACGUGC
rnacentral:rRNA from 1 species